rnacentral:rRNA from 1 species
CCGAUGGCGACCGGCGCACGGGUGAGUAACACGUAUCCAACCUGCCCUUUACUCGGGGAUAGCCUUUCGAAAGAAAGAUUAAUACCCGAUAGCAUAAUGAUUCCGCAUGGCUUCAUUAUUAAAGGAUUCCGGUAAAGGAUGGGGAUGCGUUCCAUUAGGUUGUUGGUGAGGUAACGGCUCACCAAGCCUUCGAUGGAUAGGGGUUCUGAGAGGAAGGUCCCCCACAUUGGAACUGAGACACGGUCCAA